CACGUAGGGCGCAAGCGUUGUCCGGAAUUACUGGGCGUAAAGAGCUCGUAGGUGGUUUGUCGCGUUGUUCGUGAAAACUCACAACUCAAUUGUGGGCGUGCGGGCGAUACGGGCAGACUGGAGUACUGCAGGGGAGACUGGAAUUCCUGGUGUAGCGGUGGAAUGCGCAGAUAUCAGGAGGAACACCGGUGGCGAAGGCGGGUCUCUGGGCAGUAACUGACGCUGAGGCGCGAAAGCUAGGGGAGCAAACGGG
rnacentral:rRNA from 1 species